CCUGGCUUAGGAUGAACGCUGGCGGCGUGCUUAACACAUGCAAGUCGAACGAAGCACCUCUAAUCGAAGAUUGAGAAAGCUUGCUUUGAUUGAUUCACCUUGAGGUGACUGAGUGGCGGACGGGUGAGUAACGCGUGGGUAACCUACCCUAUACAGGGGGAUAACAGUUGGAAACGACUGCUAAUACCGCAUAAGCGCACAGGACCGCAUGGUCUAGUGUGAAAAACUCCGGUGGUAUAGGAUGGACCCGCGUCUGAUUAGCUAGUUGGUGAGGUAACGGCUCACCAAGGCGACGAUCAGUAGCCGACCUGAGAGGGUGACCGGCCACAUUGGGACUGAGACACGGCCCAAACUCCUACGGGAGGCAGCAGUGGGGAAUAUUGCACAAUGGGCGAAAGCCUGAUGCAGCGACGCCGCGUGAACGAAGAAGUAUUUCGGUAUGUAAAGUUCUAUCAGCAGGGAAGAAAAAUGACGGUACCUGACUAAGAAGCUCCGGCUAAAUACGUGCCAGCAGCCGC
rnacentral:rRNA from 1 species